rnacentral:rRNA from 1 species
GAUGAACGCUGGCGGCGUGCUUAACACAUGCAAGUCGAACGAUGAAGCCCAGCUUGCUGGGUGGAUUAGUGGCGAACGGGUGAGUAACACGUGAGUAACCUGCCCUUAACUCUGGGAUAAGCCUGGGAAACUGGGUCUAAUACCGGAUAGGAGCGUCCACCGCAUGGUGGGUGUUGGAAAGAUUUAUCGGUUUUGGAUGGACUCGCGGCCUAUCAGCUUGUUGGUGAGGUAAUGGCUCACCAAGGCGACGACGGGUAGCCGGCCUGAGAGGGUGACCGGCCACACUGGGACUGAGACACGGCCCAGACUCCUACGGGAGGCAGCAGUGGGGAAUAUUGCACAAUGGGCGAAAGCCUGAUGCAGCGACGCCGCGUGAGGGAUAACGGCCUUCGGGUUGUAAACCUCUUUCAGUAGGGAAGAAGUGAAAGUGACGGUACCUGCAGAAGAAGCACCGGCUAACUACGUGCCAGCCGCCGCGGUAA